GCCUUCGUGGUGUAAUGACAAGCACACUCGGCGCGUAUUCGAGAGGUCUGUGGUUCGAUUCCCGGCGAGGGCU
rnacentral:tRNA from 1 species